rnacentral:rRNA from 1 species
GACGAACGCUGGCGGCGUGCUUAACACAUGCAAGUCGAACGGAAAGGCCCUGCUUUUGUGGGGUGCUCGAGUGGCGAACGGGUGAGUAACACGUGAGUAACCUGCCCUUGACUUUGGGAUAACUUCAGGCAACUGGGGCUAAUACCGGCUAGGUGCUCCUGCUGCAUGGUGGGGGUUGGAAAGCUUCGGCGGUUGUGGAUGGACUCGCGGGUUAUCAGCUUGUUGGUGGGGUAGUGGCUUACCCAGGGUUUGACGGAUAGGCGGCCUGGGAGGGUGACCGGCCACAAUGGGACUGAGAGACGGCCCAGAGUCCUACGUGAGGCAGUGGGGGGGAAUAUGGCACAAUGGGCGGAAGUCUGAUGCAGCAACGCCGCGUGUGGGAUGACGGCCUUCGGGGGGUAAACCGCUGUCGGCUGUGACGAAGCGUGUGUGACGGUAAUGGGUAAAGAAGCACCGGCUAACUACGUG